AUUGAACGCUGGCGGCAUGCCUUACACAUGCAAGUCGAACGGCAGCACGGGAGCAAUCCUGGUGGCGAGUGGCGAACGGGUGAGUAAUGUAUCGGAACGUGCCCGGUCGUGGGGGAUAACGUAGCGAAAGUUACGCUAAUACCGCAUACGAUCUUUGGAUGAAAGCGGGGGAUCGCAAGACCUCGCGCGAUUGGAGCGGCCGAUAUCAGAUUAGGUAGUUGGGGGGGUAAAGGCUCACCAAGCCGACGAUCUGUAGCUGGUCUGAGAGGACGACCAGCCACACUGGAGAUGAGACACGGCCCAGACUCCUACGGGAGGCAGCAGUGGGGAAUUUUGGACAAUGGGCGCAAGCCUGAUCCAGCAAUGCCGCGUGCAGGACGAAGGCCUUCGGGUUGUAAACUGCUUUUGUACGGAACGAAACGGCUCUUUUUAAUACAGAGGGUUAAUGACGGUACCGUAAGAAUAAGCACCGGCUAACUACGUGCCAGCCGCCGCCGUAA
rnacentral:rRNA from 1 species